GAUGAACGCUGGCGGCGUGCCUAAUACAUGCAAGUCGAGCGAAUGGAUUAAGAGCUUGCUCUUAUGAAGUUAGCGGCGGACGGGUGAGUAACACGUGGGUAACCUGCCCAUAAGACUGGGAUAACUCCGGGAAACCGGGGCUAAUACCGGAUAACAUUUUGAACCGCAUGGUUCGAAAUUGAAAGGCGGCUUCGGCUGUCACUUAUGGAUGGACCCGCGUCGCAUUAGCUAGUUGGUGAGGUAACGGCUCACCAAGGCAACGAUGCGUAGCCGACCUGAGAGGGUGGUCGGCCAAACUGGGACGGAGACACGGCCCAGACUCCUACGGGAGGCAGCAGUAGGGAAUCUUCCGCAAUGGACGAAAGUCUGACGGAGCAACGCCGCGUGAGUGAUGAAGGCUUUCGGGUCGUAAAACUCUGUUGUUAGGGAAGAACAAGUGCUAGUUGAAUAAGCUGGCACCUUGACGGUACCUAACCAGAAAGCCACGGCUAACUACGUGCCAGCAGCCGCCGUAA
rnacentral:rRNA from 1 species